UACAGAGGGGGCAAGCGUUGUUCGGAAUUACUGGGCGUAAAGGGCGCGUAGGCGGCCUUCUAAGUCGAACGUGAAAUCCCCGGGCUCAACCCGGGAACUGCGUCCGAUACUGGAAGGCUUGAAUUCGGGAGAGGGAUGCGGAAUUCCAGGUGUAGCGGUGAAAUGCGUAGAUAUCUGGAGGAACACCGGUGGCGAAGGCGGCAUCCUGGACCGGCAUUGACGCUGAGGCGCGAAAGCCAGGGGAGCAAACGGG
rnacentral:rRNA from 1 species